UUCCGCCUGUCCGGGUGACGUACUUCCCGUCCGAGCCGCGACGCCUCCGCGCGCCGCCGCGGGAUAAGCCGGCAUGAGUGUUCUGUUGAGGGCCGCGGCGGGGCCGCCUAGCGCCGUAGCGCGCGCGGUGAUUCCUUGUCUUUGGAGAGGAAAAUACUUCAGCUCCGGGAAGGAGCCGGCAGAAGGCAGCCCGGUGACUCCAGUGCUGCGGCAUCUCAUAUACAAAAUCAAGUCUACUGGCCCCAUCACUGUGGCCGAGUACAUGAAGGAGGUCUUGACCAACCCAGCCAAGGGUUAUUACGUAUACCAUGAUAUGCUAGGAGAACAAGGAGAUUUCAUUACUUCACCGGAAAUAAGUCAGGUCUUUGGGGAGCUCCUAGGAAUAUGGUUCAUUAGUGAAUGGAUGGCCACUGGAAAAAGUGCAGCUUUCCAGCUGGUGGAACUGGGUCCAGGUAGGGGUACCCUCAUGGGAGAUAUUUUAAGGGUGUUCAGUCAGCUUGGAUCUGUGCUGAAAAACUGUGACAUUUCAAUACAUCUGGUAGAGGUGAGCCAAAAAUUAAGUGAGAUUCAGGCAUUAACACUGACUGAACAGAAGGUCUCAUUAGAGCGAAAUGCUGGCUACCCAGUGUAUAUGAAAGGUGUUACUAAGUCUGGGAUUCCAAUUUCAUGGUACCGAGAUCUGCAAGAUGUUCCAAAAGGGAACAGCUUUUAUCUGGCACAUGAAUUUUUUGAUGUUCUUCCUGUGCAUAAGUUUCAGAAAACACCACAAGGAUGGCGAGAAGUACUCAUUGAUAUUGAUCCACAAGUUUCUGAUAAACUGAGGUUUGUUUUGGCACCUUGUGCCACCCCAGCAGAAGCCUUCAUACAACUUGAUGAAACAAGGGACCAUGUGGAAGUCUGUCCUGAUGCUGGUGUUAUUAUUCAGGAACUUUCUCAACGCAUUGCACUAACUGGAGGUGGUGCACUGAUUGCUGAUUAUGGUCAUGAUGGAACUAAGACAGAUACCCUCAGAGGAUUUUGUGGCCACAAGCUUCAUGACGUCUUAAUUGCCCCUGGAACAGCAGAUCUAACAGCUGACGUGGACUUCAGUUAUUUGCGCAGAAUGGCACAGGGAAAAGUAGCUUCUCUGGGUCCAGUAAAACAACAAAUGUUUUUAAAAAAUAUGGGCAUUGAUGUCAGGCUAAAGGUUCUUUUAGAUAAAUCAGACGAGCAAUCGAGGGAGCAGUUACUACAACAGUAUGAUAUGUUAAUGAAUCCUAAAAAGAUGGGAGAAAGAUUUAACUUUUUUGCUUUGCUACCUCAUAAGAGACUUCAUGGUAAAAGUCAGACAAAUGCAUGUCAGUCAAAACCCUCUCCGUCACCUGUAGCUGGGUUUGGUGAACUUGCUUGGCGGUGAUACUUAAGUUUGGACUUUUUACUCCUAAGUCGGCCUACAAAACCAAAAUAAAGGGAAUACAUUUCAUAUAUCACAGAUGAAAACCUAUAAAGAACAACAGUUGUACAACAAAACAUCAGUCCAUAAAAUGAAGUCCUUCCUUAUGGAAGUUAGUUCACUGAUCAUUAAGGAUCUUCCUCCAUAUCAUCUGGAUUGGGAGCCAUAAUGAAGUGCUUUGGAUA